rnacentral:rRNA from 1 species
CACGUAGGGGGCAAGCGUUGUCCGGAUUUAUUGGGCGUAAAGAGCUCGUAGGCGGCUCAGUAAGUCAGGUGUGAAACCUCCAGGCUCAACCUGGAGACGCCACCUGAUACUGCUGUGGCUAGAGUCCGGUAGGGGAGCGUGGAAUUCCUGGUGUAGAGGUGAAAUUCGUAGAUAUCGGGAGGAACACCAGUGGCGAAGGCGGCGAUCUGGGCAGAUACUGACGCUGAGGUGCGAAAGCGUGGGGAGCAAACAGG